CGUGUAGGCGGUCGAGUAAGUCAGAUGUGAAAUCCCUCAGCUCAACUGAGGAACUGCAUUUGAUACUGCUUGACUAGAGUUUGGGAGAGGGGAAUGGAAUUCCCGGUGUAAGGGUGAAAUCUGUAGAUAUCGGGAGGAACACCAGUGGCGAAGGCGAUUCCCUGGACCAAAACUGACGCUGAGGCGCGAAAGCUAGGGGAGCGAACAGGAUUAGAUACCCUGGUAGUCC
rnacentral:rRNA from 1 species